UGGGGGAUAUUGCACAAUGGGCGAAAGCCUGAUGCAGCGACGCCGCGUGGGGGAUGAAGGCCUUCGGGUUGUAAACUUCUUUUGCUCUGAACAAGGCAUGCUAAUGGGUGUGUUGAGUGUAGGGGUUGAUUAGCGCCGGCUAACUACGUGCCAGCAGCCGCGGUAAUACGUAGGGCGCGAGCGUUGUCCGGAAUUAUUGGGCGUAAAGGGCUUGUAGGUGGCUGGUUGCGUCUGUCGUGAAAGCUCAUGGCUUAACUGUGGGUUUGCGGUGGGUACGGGCUGGCUUGAGUGCAGUAGGGGAGGCUGGAAUUCCUGGUGUAGCGGUGGAAUGCGCAGAUAUCAGGAGGAAUACCGGUGGCGAAGGCGGGUCUCUGGGCUGUUACUGACACUGAGUAGCGAAAGCAUGGGGAGCGAACAGG
rnacentral:rRNA from 1 species